GAUGAACGCUGGCGGCGUGCCUAAUACAUGCAAGUCGAGCGAACAGACGAGGAGCUUGCUCCUCUGACGUUAGCGGCGGACGGGUGAGUAACACGUGGAUAACCUACCUAUAAGACUGGGAUAACUUCGGGAAACCGGAGCUAAUACCGGAUAAUAUAUUGAACCGCAUGGUUCAAUAGUGAAAGACGGUUUUGCUGUCACUUAUAGAUGUAUCCGCGCCGCAUUAGCUAGUUGGUAAGGUAACGGCUUACCAAGGCAACGAUGCGUAGCCGACCUGAGAGGGUGCUCGGCCACACUGGAACUGAGACACGGUCCAGACUCCUACGGGAGGCAGCAGUAGGGAAUCUCCCGCAAUGGGCGAAAGCCUGACGGAGCAACGCCGCGUGAGUGAUGAAGGUCUUCGGAUCGUAAAACUCUGUUAUUAGGGAAGAACAAAUGUGUAAGUAACUAUGCACGUCAUGACGGUACCUAAUCAGAAAGCCACGGCUAACUACGUG
rnacentral:rRNA from 1 species